GACAGAGGAUGCAAGCGUUAUCCGGAAUGAUUGGGCGUAAAGCGUCUGUAGGUGGCUUUUUAAGUCCGCCGUCAAAUCCCAGGGCUCAACCCUGGACAGGCGGUGGAAACUACCAAGCUGGAGUACGGUAGGGGCAGGGAGUCGAUUCGGAGGAGCGGUGAAAUGCGUAGAGAUCGGAAAGAACACCAACGGCGAAAGCACUCUGCUGGGCCGACACUGACACUGAGAGACGAAAGCUAGGGGAGCGAAUGGG
rnacentral:rRNA from 1 species